rnacentral:rRNA from 1 species
UACGUAGGGUGCAAGCGUUGUCCGGAAUUAUUGGGCGUAAAGAGCUCGUAGGCGGUCUGUCGCGUCGGCUGUGAAACCCGAGGCUCAACCUCGGGUCUGCAGUCGAUACGAGCAAACUAGAGUGUUGCAGGGGAGACUGGAAUUCCUGGUGUAGCGGUGGAAUGCGCAGAUAUCAGGAGGAACACCGGUGGCGAAGGCGGGUCUCUGGGCAGUAACUGACGCUGAGGAGCGAAAGCGUGGGGAGCGAACAGG